rnacentral:rRNA from 1 species
CUACGGGGCGCAGCAGGCGAGAAAACUUUGCAAUGUGCGAAAGCACGACAAGGUUAAUCCGAGUGGUCUCUGCUAAAGGGACCUUUUGACAGUCCUAGAAACACUGUUGAAUAAGGGGUGGGCAAGUUCUGGUGUCAGCCGCCGCGGUAAAACCAGCACCUCAAGUGGUCAGGAUGAUUAUUGGGCCUAAAGCAUCCGUAGCCCGCUUUGCCAGUUUUCGGUUAAAUCCAUAUGCUCAACAUAUGGGCUGCCGGGAAUACUACAAAGCUAGGGAGUGGGAGAGGUAGACGGUACUCGGUAGGAAGGGGUAAAAUCCUUUGAUCUAUUGAUGACCACCUGUGGCGAAGGCGGUCUACCAGAACACGUCCGACGGUGAGGGAUGAAAGCUGGGGGAGCAAACCGGAUUAGAUACCCCCGUAGUC